rnacentral:rRNA from 1 species
GAACGCUGGCGGCAGGCCUAACACAUGCAAGUCGGACGGUAGCACAGGGGAGCUUGCUCCUUGGGUGACGAGUGGCGGACGGGUGAGUAAUGUCUGGGAAACUGCCCGGUGGAGGGGGAUAACUACUGGAAACGGUAGCUAAUACCGCAUAACGUCUUCGGACCAAAGUGGGGGAUCUUAGGGCCUCACGCCACCGGAUGUGCCCAGAUGGGAUUAGCUAGUAGGUGGGGUAACGGCUCACCUAGGCGACGAUCCCUAGCUGGUCUGAGAGGAUGACCAGCCACACUGGAACUGAGACACGGUCC